GAUGAACGCUAGCGGCAGGCCUAACACAUGCAAGUCGAGGGGUAGCAGGAUUAAGCUUGCUUAAUUGCUGACGACCGGCGCACGGGUGCGUAACGCGUAUGCAACCUACCUUAUACUGGGGUAUAGCCCGGAGAAAUUCGGAUUAAUCUCCCAUAUUACUAAUGAAUCGCAUGGUUUAUUAGUUAAAGCAUUGCGGUAUAAGAUGGGCAUGCGUCCUAUUAGCUAGAUGGUUAGGUAACGGCUCACCAUGGCUACGAUAGGUAGGGGGCCUGAGAGGGUGGUCCCCCACACUGGUACUGAGACACGGACCAGACUCCUACGGGAGGCAGCAGUGAGGAAUAUUGGUCAAUGGGCGCAAGCCUGAACCAGCCAUGCCGCGUGCAGGAAGAAUGCCCUAUGGGUUGUAAACUGCUUUUAUUUGGGAAUAAACCUCUUUACGUGUAGAGAGCUGAAGGUACCAAAUGAAUAAGCACCGGCUAACUCCGUGCCAGCAGCCGCCGUAA
rnacentral:rRNA from 1 species